UACAGAGGUGGCAAGCGUUGUUCGGAAUUACUGGGCGUAAAGGGCGCGUAGGCGGCCUGGCAAGUGGAAGGUGAAAUCCCUCGGCUUAACCGAGGAACUGCCCUCCAAACUGCUUGGCUUGAGUCCGGAAGAGGAGAGUGGAAUUCCUGGUGUAGCGGUGAAAUGCGCAGAUAUCAGGAAGAACACCUAUGGCGAAGGCAGCUCUCUGGGACGGUACUGACGCUGAGACGCGAAAGCGUGGGGGAGCGAACAGG
rnacentral:rRNA from 1 species